AGAGUUUGAUCCUGGCUCAGGAUGAACGCUGGCGGCGUGCCUAAUACAUGCAAGUCGAACGGGAACCGGAGACUUCGGUAGCCGGGGAGAGUGGCGCACGGGUGCGUAACACGUAGCUGAUCUGCCCUUUGCAGGGGGAUAACCUGCCGAAAGGUGGGCUAAUACCGCGUAGGCUCGAUGAGGUUAGAGGCUCAUUGAGUAAAGCUGCGGCGGCAAAGGAGGAGGCUGCGACCCAUCAGCUAGUUGGUAGGGUAAAGGCCUACCAAGGCAAAGACGGGUAGGGGGCCUGAGAGGGUGACCCCCCACACUGGGACUGAGACACGGCCCAGACACCUACGGGUGGCUGC
rnacentral:rRNA from 1 species